rnacentral:lncRNA from 1 species
GUAGAGUAUUUGCCUCCCAGGGCCCCUGCCAGGAUUCAGCAAGAGAAUGCAAGUGAAACGCUGCACCGACAGCCCAGCGCAGUGAACGCUGACAGUUGGUCGAGGGCCGGACACGGGCGAGUUCCUUUUCCAGCUCGAGGGGACAGUGCUACACUGAACACCACUGAACACCACAGGGUCCCGAGCUUUUUCGUGUUCUUGCUAGAGCUGGCUGUCGGCACUGCUGCCGGCAGAGGAAGCAUCCUGGCUGAUUUACCUUUUAUUUCCAGCCUCACUGAGAUCUGGUCGACAUAUCACAUUGUGAGCCGAAGCCACGAAGAUGUUCCGUGUGGUGUUAUUUACAGCAGGAGGGGAGAAUCGGAAAUAACACAGGGGUCGGCAAUGACUGGACUGUUAAAAUAACUCCCACCACUUCCUUCAUUGGCGUGAACACUGAGGACUAUCAGGUCCCAAGAGAACCAAGGUUUUUUCCUCUUGUUGAAAGAAGAAUCCCUCAGCCCCGAAAAUAACGGCCAGCAUAUAAAGGUGUUUGGUAUGUAUUCUGGGGAUGAAUGAAUAAAUAAUGCUGUGAAAUUAAUUUCCA